CGUGAAAAAUCUGGAGAGCAUGGCAAGCUGAUAAGUUAUCAUGUCAUAUUGCCAUCACCGAAGGGGAGAAAACAGCCAAUCGGUUGGAGACAUUCAACCAUCAUUGUCUGUUGAAAAUCUCAGGUAAAACGGACAGAUGGGGUAAA
rnacentral:ncRNA from 1 species